CCAAGAAACUUGUUCCAGUAAAGAAGGAACCUGUGCCUGUUACCAAAAAACCAGAAGUUCUUCCAGAAAAAGUGCCCAAAGUGCCCAAGAAAAUCAUCCCAGAAAAGGAAGUGCCUCUACCUAUCCCUGCAGAGCCAGAAGCUCCACCUGCUGAAGUGGAAGAGACUCCUGAGGAAAUAAUAUAUGAAGAAAAAGCAUCUAUAACCAUUGGUAGAAAAGAGACUCCCCCUGUUGAAGAACGUGAAAUUGAAAAGUACAUUAAACCUGAAGAGCCUGAACCUGAACCACAGCCUGAAGAAAUAC